ensembl:snoRNA LOC120102650 small nucleolar RNA SNORA48
CACCCUAGCACUGGGCAGAGACAACUUGUUGAUGGUGGAGUUCUUAUAUCAGUCAGGGGCAGAGCAGAUGGCAGUCCUUUGUUGAUCCUAGCUUGAUGUUUGGCUUGGUAGCCAAAGCUGUUUUAUGGCUAGACAUAUAA